GGACAGCUGGCCGAGUGGUCGAAGGCGCUCGCCUGGAACGCGAGUAUAGGGCAACCUAUCGAGGGUUCGAAUCCCUCGUUGUCCACCA
rnacentral:tRNA from 2 species